AUUGAACGCUGGCGGCAGGCUUAACACAUGCAAGUCGAGCGGGGGAGGUUGCUUCGGUAACUGACCUAGCGGCGGACGGGUGAGUAAUGCUUAGGAAUCUGCCUAUUAGUGGGGGACAACAUUCCGAAAGGAAUGCUAAUACCGCAUACGCCCUACGGGGGAAAGCAGGGGAUCUUCGGACCUUGCGCUAAUAGAUGAGCCUAAGUCGGAUUAGCUAGUUGGUGGGGUAAAGGCCUACCAAGGCGACGAUCUGUAGCGGGUCUGAGAGGAUGAUCCGCCACACUGGGAAUGAGACACGGCCCAGACUCCUACGGGAGGCAGCAGUGGGGAAUAUUGGACAAUGGGCGGAAGCCUGAUCCAGCCAUGCCGCGUGUGUGAAGAAGGCCUUUUGGUCGUAAAGCACUUUAAGCGAGGAGGAGGCUCUUAAGGUUAAUACCCUUGAUGAGUGGACGUUACUCGCAGAAUAAGCACCGGCUAACUCUGUGCCAGCCGCCGCCGUAACAC
rnacentral:rRNA from 1 species